GAUGAACGCUGGCGGCGUGCCUAAUACAUGCAAGUCGAGCGAACAGACGAGGAGCUUGCUCCUCUGACGUUAGUGGCGGACGGGUGAGUAACACGUGGAUAACCUACCUAUAAGACUGGGAUAACUUCGGGAAACCGGAGCUAAUACCGGAUAAUAUAUUGAACCGCAUGGUUCAAUAGUGAAAGACGGUUUUGCUGUCACUUAUAGAUGGAUCCGCGCCGCAUUAGCUAGUUGGUAAGGUAACGGCUUACCAAGGCAACGAUGCGUAGCCGACCUGAGAGGGGGAUGGGCCAACUGGGAACGGAGACACGGCCCAAAUCCCAAGGGGAGGCAGGGGUAGGAAAUCUUCCGCAAUGGGCGAAAGCUGGAGGGAGCAACGCCGCGGGAGUGAUGAAGGUCUUCGGAUCGUAAAACUUUGUUAUUGGGGAAAAAAAAAUGUGAAAGUAACUAUGCACGUUUUGACGGUACCUAAUCAGAAAGCCACGGCUAAUUACGU
rnacentral:rRNA from 1 species